rnacentral:rRNA from 1 species
GGGGGGACGCAGUAGGAUAGGCGAAGCGUGCUGUUGGAGUGCACGUCCAAGCAGUGAGAUUGAGUGUUAGGCAAAUCCGGCACUCUUAAGAUUGAGCUGUGAUGGGGAGAGGAACUUGUUCCUCGAGUCGUUGAUUUCACACUGCCGAGAAAAGCCUCUAGCUAGAAUAACGGUGCCCGUACCGCAAACCGACACAGGUAGUCAAGAUGAGAAUUCUAAGGUGAGCGAGCGAACUCUCGUUAAGGAACUCGGCAAAAUGACCCCGUAACUUCGGGAGAAGGGGUGCUCUUUGAGGUUCACGCUUCGAAGAGCCGCAGUGAAUAGGCCCAAGCGACUGUUUAUCAAAAACACAGGUCUCUGCUAAACCGUAAGGUGACGUAUAGGGGCUGACGCCUGCCCGGUGCUGGAAGGUUAAGAGGAGUGGUUAGCGCAAGCGAAGCUACGAAUCGAAGCCCCAGUAAACGGCGGCCGUAACUAUAACGGUCCUAAGGUAGCGAAAUUCCUUGUCGGGUAAGUUCCGACCCGCACGAAAGGCGUAACGAUUUGGGCACUGUCUCAACGAGAGACUCGGUGAAAUCAUAGUACCGGUGAAGAUGCCGGUUACCCGCGACAGGACGGAAAGACCCCGUGGAGCUUUACUGUAGCCUGAUAUUGAAAUUCGGUACAGUUUGUACAGGAUAGGUAGGAGCCUUAGAAGCGUGAGCGCUAGCUUACGUGGAGGCAUUGGUGGGAUACUACCCUAAUUGUAUUGGAUUUCUAACCCGCAGCACUUAUCGUGCUGGGAGACAGUGUCAGGCGGGCAGUUUGACUGGGGCGGUCGCCUCCUAAAGAGUAACGGAGGCGCUCAAAGGUUCCCUCAGAAUGGUUGGAAAUCAUUCAUAGAGUGUAAAGGCAUAAGGGAGCUUGACUGCGAGACCUACAAGUCGAGCAGGGUCGAAAGACGGACUUAGUGAUCCGGUGGUUCCGCAUGGAAGGGCCAUCGCUCAACGGAUAAAAGCUACCCCGGGGAUAACAGGCUUAUCUCCCCCAAGAGUUCACAUCGACGGGGAGGUUUGGCACCUCGAUGUCGGCUCAUCGCAUCCUGGGGCUGUAGUCGGUCCCAAGGGUUGGGCUGUUCGCCCAUUAAAGCGGUACGCGAGCUGGGUUCAGAACGUCGUGAGACAGUUCGGUCCCUAUCCGUCGUGGGCGUAGGAAAUUUGAGAGGAGCUGUCCUUAGUACGAGAGGACCGGGAUGGACAUACCUCUGGUGUACCAGUUGUCGUGCCAACGGCAUAGCUGGGUAGCUAUGUAUGGACGGGAUAAGUGCUGAAAGCAUCUAAGCAUGAAGCCCCCCUCGAGAUGAGAUUUCCCAACUUCGGUUAUAAGAUCCCUCAAAGAUGAUGAGGUGAAUAGGUUCGAGGUGGAAGCGUAG